GACGAACGCUGGCGGCGUGCUUAACACAUGCAAGUCGAACGAUGAAGCGGCCAGCUUGCACGUGGUGGAUUAGUGGCGAACGGGUGAGUAACACGUGAGUAAUCUGCCCUGGACUUCGGGAUAGCUUCGGGAAACCGAGAUUAAUACCGGAUAUGACAUUGUCUCGCAUGGGAUGGUGUGGAAAGUUUUUUCGGUUCAGGAUGUGCUCGCGGCCUAUCAGCUUGAUGGUGGGGUAAUGGCCUACCAUGGCUUUGACGGGUAGCCGGCCUGAGAGGGUGACCGGUCACACUGGGACUGAGACACGGCCCAGACUCCUACGGGAGGCAGCAGUGGGGAAUAUUGGACAAUGGGCGGAAGCCUGAUCCAGCAACGCCGCGUGAGGGAUGACGGCCUUCGGGUUGUAAACCUCUUUCAUCUAUGACGAAGGCUCUGCUUUUUGGUGGGGUUGACGGUAAUGGGAGAAGAAGCACCGGCCAACUACGUGCCAGCAGCCGCCGUAAAAC
rnacentral:rRNA from 1 species